GGUUUGUGGCUGAGUGGUAGAGUGCUUGCCUAGCAUACAUGAGGCUCUGGGUUCAAUCCUCAGCACCA
rnacentral:tRNA from 1 species